rnacentral:ncRNA from 1 species
UCCCCGCUGCUAGGAGAGAACCCUGCUGCGCGUGUCAACACGGGUAAAACGGGUCGCCGAAGGCGCAGGGUGGUUUGCCAUCCGAACGCUCAGGCAAAAGGACUGGCAACACCUU